UACGAAGGGUGCUAGCGUUGUUCGGAUUUACUGGGCGUAAAGGGCACGCAGGCGGCCUGCCAAGUUGGAGGUGAAAUCCCAGGGCUCAACCCUGGAACUGCCUUCAAAACUGGCAGGCUAGAGAUCGAGAGAGGUGAGUGGAAUUCCUAGUGUAGAGGUGAAAUUCGUAGAUAUUAGGAGGAACACCAGUGGCGAAGGCGGCUCACUGGCUCGAUACUGACGCUGAGGUGCGAAAGCGUGGGGAGCAAACAGG
rnacentral:misc_RNA from 1 species